CUACGGGUGGCUGCAGUGGGGAAUAUCGGACAAUGGGCGCAAGCCUGAUCCAGCAAUGCCGCGUGAGUGAAGACGGCCUUAGGGUUGUAAAACUCUUUCGCUAGGGAAGAUAAUGACUGUACCUAGUAAAGAAGUCCCGGCGAACUCCGUGCCAGCAGCCGCGGUAAUACGGAGGGGACUAGCGUUGUUCGGAAUUACUGGGCGUAAAGAGUUCGUAGGCGGCCUGACAAGUUAGAGGUGAAAUCCCAGGGCUCAACCCUGGAACUGCCUUUAAAACUGUCAGUCUAGAGACCGGAAGAGGUUAGGGGAAUACCUAGUGUAGCGGUGAAAUUCGUAGAUAUUAGGUGGAACACCAGUGGCGAAGGCGCCUAACUGGUCCGGUACUGACGCUGAGGAACGAAAGCGUGGGGAGCAAACAGGAUUAGAUACCCCUGUAGUC
rnacentral:rRNA from 1 species